rnacentral:rRNA from 1 species
AUGGCGACGAUCCAAAGCAAAUCGACAGCACCGCAAUCUGUUACUGCAAGCAGGCUUCCUCCCAAGAAGGAGGAGCAAGAGCUCCGGCGAGCCUACUCGGAAAUGGCGAGCAACAUGGAGAAGCUUGUCGUCGCAAGCAGCAGCAGCAGCAACCCAUGCCCUGACGACGGCGCCCACGUGUCGGAGGUGGAGACGGUGCGGUGCGCGUGCUGCGCCGUGGCCGAGGAAUGCACGGCGGCGUACGUCGGCGGGGUCCGCGCGGCCUUCUGCGGCGACUGGCUGUGCGGGCUAUGCGGGGAGGCCGUGAAGGAGCGGAUGGAGCGGGACCCGUCCGGCGGCGUGGAGGCGGCGCUGGUGUCCCACGAGGCCGAGUGCCGGGACUUCAACGUCACGAGGUUGAACCCGACGCUGUCGCUCGCCGGAUCCAUGCGGGGCAUCGCACGCAAGAGCUUCGACCGGAGAAAGACGACGACGUCGACGUCGUGCCAGGACCGCCACCUGCGCACGGCGGCGUCCAGGGCGGUGGCGCUCGCGAGGUCGGUCAGCUGCGACCCGCGGUUCCUGGCGGACGUGAUCAACGGGCCGUCCGGAGAGCAGUCCCGAUGA